CUCUGAAAAUGGAGCAGCUGUGGACUUUGAAAUGGUCAAUAUACAUACAACACGCUUCAUUUCCAAUGAAGAUCACCAGGAAGGAGGACUGAAGACCUCAUAAUUUUAUGCAGAAGAAGAUGAAUCUCUCCUCCCUUUUCCGUUCCUUGCUGGUGGUUUGCUUCAUCGUUGCUUUCUUUGCCUUGCAGCUGGAUUUGGUCACUGCAGGUCCUGUGAGGAAGCUGAAAGAAAGAGAAGUUCUCACUCCGCCACCGCCAAUUGCCAACCAGGGGAGCCCAUAGCCGGCCAUGGAUGAAACCAUGGAGGAGGCCUUUGGCAGGAGAGUCUGUUAAGGUCAAAUUUUAAUUUAUUAAUGGUAAUUACGUAUUGGAAGUAAUACAUGUAUGGCUUAAUUUGGUGUGCUGGGCUUCUGUGUUCUUGUAAUGGCAAAAGGGGUGCUUAUGAUUCUUAGAAAUAAUGGACCGACAAGAGAUUGAUUAGUAAUAUCUUAUGGAAUUUUGAUUUAUUUCCUGAUGUUAUAACUUGGGUAUAUGGAAAGAAAUUUGGAUUUACUAA